GGAGCUUGGAUUGAUAAACUGAAUAUAGGAGUGAAAUCUGGAUCUCCAGGCAUUAUUCCAUGUCAAUAUGAAAAACAAUAUCAAGAAAAUCACAAGUAUUGGUGUCAGGGGAUGUUUUGGAGCUCUUGCACUAUAUUGGCAUUUGGAAAUGGCCCAAAAAGUAAAUUUUCCAUCACUUAUUACCCAGCACAGAGUAUCUUUACAGUGGAAUGGCAGAAACUGCAGCCGUCAGACUCUGGAUAUUACUGGUGCGCUGUGGAGAUCGGUGGCUCUGGGACCCUGGAUGCUGGAUAUUAUGUGUAUCUGACAGUACAAUCA
ensembl:processed_transcript